UUUAACUGAGCGUUCAGUUACUUGACGUAGACCCGAAACCGGGCGACCUACCCAUGAGCAGGAUGAAGCGAAAGUAAAAUUUCGUGGAGGUCCGAACCCACGAGCGUUGAAAAGCUCGGGGAUGACUUGUGGGUAGCGGUGAAAUUCCAAUCGAGCCCGGAGAUAGCUGGUUCUCCCCGAAAUAGCUUUAGGGCUAGCCUCAAGGUGAGAGAUACGGAGGUAGAGCACUGAAUGUCCUAGGGGGUAUUGCACCUACCGAAGACUAUCAAACUCCGAAUGCCGUCAUCUUAUACUUGGGAGUCAGACUGUGGGUGAUAAGAUUCAUAGUCGAAAGGGCAACAGCCCAGAUCGUCAGCUAAGGUCCCUAAAUGUAAGUUAAGUGGUAAAGGAUGUGGGAUUGCACAGACAACCAGGAUGUUGGCUUAGAAGCAGCCACUCAUUCAAAGAGUGCGUAAUAGCUCACUGGUCGAGUGAUCCUGCGCCGAAGAUUUCCGGGGCUAAAACUUACUACCGAAGCUACGGCAUCAGUAAUGAUGGGUAGGGGAGCUUCCCAUACGGGUUGAAGCAUGACCGUAAGGACAUGUGGACAGUAUGGGAGUGAGAAUGUUGGCAUGAGUAG
rnacentral:rRNA from 1 species